GUGCUCACUUCGGCAGCACAUACACUAAAAUUGGAAUGAUACAGAGAUUAGCAUGGCCCCUGCACAAGGAUGAAACAAGUAAAGAGAGAUAGAAAGUAGAAUAGA